rnacentral:misc_RNA from 1 species
GUCCUUGGUGGUUUUUUUUUUUUUCUUUUUGGUUUCCAUAAAGCAUCAAUCUCUCUCUCUUCCCCUCUUGUCCUUUCUUUUGAUGUUCGUGAGAAGCAUGUCAAUUAUUUAUCCCUAUGCUUGCUUUACCAACCUUGUUAAUUUACCUGUAUGUCUGUAUCAAGUGACGGAUUUUGAUUCUGUGCAUCUGCACAUAUUUCCUCGUCUUUCUUUGAUAUGGUAACACAGCACAUACUGGAAAUCUGAAG